rnacentral:misc_RNA from 1 species
ACACCUCAACUCCUCAUGGUUUACCGUGAUGGGCUUGGACUUUGGGGGUCUUGCUGGCCUAUGGUUGGCUCCUCUCAAAUGGAUCAGCUUGCCAGUGUUUGGUGGCAUCACAGGUGUGAUAAAUAUCUACGCUUGUGGUUUCCACCAUAUUGCCUUCAGCGAUGAAGGUUCUCUGGAGCUCACAAAUGUCCCUCCUCAGCGAGGACAGCUUUUUGAAC